rnacentral:rRNA from 1 species
GAUGAACGCUGGCGGCGUGCCUAAUACAUGCAAGUCGAGCGAACGGACGAGAAGCUUGCUUCUCUGAUGUUAGCGGCGGACGGGUGAGUAACACGUGGAUAACCUACCUAUAAGACUGGGAUAACUUCGGGAAACCGGAGCUAAUACCGGAUGAUAUUUUGAACCGCAUGGUUCAAAAGUGAAAGACGGUCUUGCUGUCACUUAUAGAUGGAUCCGCGCUGCAUUAGCUAGUUGGUAAGGUAACGGCUUACCAAGGCAACGAUGCAUAGCCGACCUGAGAGGGUGAUCGGCCACACUGGAACUGAGACACGGUCCAGACUCCUACGGGAGGCAGCAGUAGGGAAUCUUCCGCAAUGGGCGAAAGCCUGACGGAGCAACGCCGCGUGAGUGAUGAAGGUCUUCGGAUCGUAAAACUCUGUUAUUAGGGAAGAACAUAUGUGUAGUAACUGUGCACAUCUUGACGGUACCUAAUCAGAAAGCCACGGCUAACUACGU